rnacentral:rRNA from 1 species
AACGAACGCUGGCGGCAUGCCUAACACAUGCAAGUCGAACGAGACCUUCGGGUCUAGUGGCGCACGGGUGCGUAACGCGUGGGAACCUGCCCUUAGGUUCGGAAUAACUCAGAGAAAUUUGAGCUAAUACCGGAUAAUGUCUUCGGACCAAAGAUUUAUCGCCUUUGGAUGGGCCCGCGUAGGAUUAGCUUGUUGGUGGGGUAAUGGCCUACCAAGGCGACGAUCCUUAGCUGGUCUGAGAGGAUGAUCAGCCACACUGGGACUGAGACACGGCCCAGACUCCUACGGGAGGCAGCAGUGGGGAAUAUUGGACAAUGGGCGAAAGCCUGAUCCAGCAAUGCCGCGUGAGUGAUGAAGGCCUAGGGUUGUAGAGCUCUUUCACCGAUGAAGAUAAUGACGGUAGUCGGAGAAGAAGCCCCGGCUAACUUCGUGCCAGCCGCCGCGGUAA